rnacentral:rRNA from 1 species
GCAGAACGCGAAGAACCUUACCAGGGCUUAAAUGUAGAUUGCAUUAGGUGGAGACACCUAUUUCUUCGGACCGUCUACAAGGUGCUGCAUGGUUGUCGUCAGCUCGUGCCGUGAGGUGUCAGGUUAAGUCCUAUAACGAGCGCAACCCCUGUUGUUAGUUGCCAGCGAGUCAUGUCGGGAACUCUAGCAAGACUGCCAGUGCAAACUGUGAGGAAGGUGGGGAUGACGUCAAAUCAUCACGGCCCUUACGUCCUGGGCUACACACGUGCUACAAUGGUAGGGACAGAGAGCAGCCACUGGGCGACCAGGAGCGAAUCUAUAAAACCCUGUCUCAGUUCGGAUCGGGGUCUGCAACUCGACCCCGUGAAGCUGGAAUCGCUAGUAAUCGGAUAUUAGCCAUGAUCCGGUGAAUACGUUCCCGGGUCUUGUACACACCG